GAUGAACGCUGGCGGCGUGCCUAAUACAUGCAAGUCGAGCGAACAGACGAGGAGCUUGCUCCUCUGACGUUAGCGGCGGACGGGUGAGUAACACGUGGAUAACCUACCUAUAAGACUGGGAUAACUUCGGGAAACCGGAGCUAAUACCGGAUAAUAUAUUGAACCGCAUGGUUCAAUAGUGAAAGACGGUUUUGCUGUCACUUAUAGAUGGAUCCGCGCCGCAUUAGCUAGUUGGUAAGGUAACGGCUUACCAAGGCAACGAUGAGUAGCCGACCUGAGAGGGUGUUCGGCCACACUGGAACUGAGACACGGUCCAGACUCCUACGGGAGGCAGCAGUAGGGAAUCUUCCGCAAUGGGCGAAAGCUUGACGGAGCAACGCCGCGUGAGUGAUGAAGGUCUUCGGAUCGUAAAACUCUGUUAUUAGGGAAGAACAAAUGUGUAAGUAACUAUGCACGUCUUGACGGUACCUAAUCAGAAAGCCACGGCUAACUACGUG
rnacentral:rRNA from 1 species